AAAGCUGUUGGACCGGCUCCCAACCCCGCCCCCAUCCCCACCGCAAGCUCCUCCGAGCAGAACCUGGUCGGCCCCUGCCCAGACCCCGACCCCACCCCACCAACGCCUGGUGAUGCCCUUGGAUGCCAGGCGGUGCGCAGGAGAACUCUGCGGGAGCCACAGCGGUGGUCCAGGGCUGGGCGCCCCGCUCCAGACGAACCUUUCCCAGUAGCCAAGCCCUCUGACGGGUGACCCAAGCAGGUGUUACAGAAAAUACUGGAAAACCUGAACUGGAUCACUGACGGAAGAACGAAGCGG